CCCGCCGGACCUGACUGCUAUCGGAUUGAUACUAAGCCAUGCGAGUCUUUGCAGUAAUGCAAGGCAUACGGCUCAGUAACACGUAGUCAACCUACCCUAUGGACGAGAAUAAUCUCGGGAAACUGAGCAUAAUUCUUGAUAGAUCAUAAUGCCUGGAAUGGUUUAUGGUUAAAAUGAUUCGUCGCCAUAGGAUGGGACUGCGGCCUAUCAGCUUGUUGGUGAGGUAAUGGCCCACCAAGGCGACUACAGGUACGGGCUCUGAGAGGAGAAGCCCGGAGAUGGGUACUGAGACACGGACCCAGGCCCUAUGGGGCGCAGCAGGCGAGAAAACUUUGCAAUGUGCGAAAGCACGACAAGGUUAAUCCGAGUGAUUUCUGCUAAAGAAAUCUUUUGCCAGUCAUAAAACCACUGGUGAAUAAGGGGUGGGCAAGUUCUGGUGUCAGCCGCCGCGGUAAAACCAGCACCUCAAGUGGUCAGGAUGAUUAUUGGGCCUAAAGCAUCCGUAGCCGGCUUUGUAAGUUUUCGGUUAAAUCCAUGUGCUCAACGCAUGGGCUGCCGAAAAUACUGCAUGGCUAGGGAGUGGGAGAGGUAGACGGUACUCAGUAGGAAGGGGUAAAAUCCUUUGAUCUAUUGAUGACCACCUGUGGCGAAGGCGGUCUACCAGAACACGUUCGACGGUGAGGGAUGAAAGCUGGGGGAGCAAACCGGAUUAGAUACCCGGGUAGUCCCAGCUGUAAACGAUGCAGACUCGAUGAUGCAUUGGCAUAAUAGCCAGUGCAGUGUCGCAGGGAAGCCGUUAAGUCUGCCGCCUGGGAAGUACGUACGCAAGUAUGAAACUUAAAGGAAUUGGCGGGGGAGCACCA
rnacentral:rRNA from 1 species